rnacentral:rRNA from 1 species
UACGUAGGGUGCGAGCGUUGUCCGGAAUUACUGGGCGUAAAGAGCUCGUAGGUGGUUUGUCGCGUCGUUUGUGUAAGUCCAUGGCUUAACUGUGGGACUGCAGGCGAUACGGGCAUAACUUGAGUGCUGUAGGGGAGACUGGAAUUCCUGGUGUAGCGGUGAAAUGCGCAGAUAUCAGGAGGAACACCGAUGGCGAAGGCAGGUCUCUGGGCAGUAACUGACGCUGAGGAGCGAAAACAUGGGUAGCGAACAGGAUUAGAUACCCUGGUAGUCCAUGCCGUAAACGGUGGGCGCUAGGUGUGAGCUCCUUCCACGGGGUUCGUGCCGUAGCUAACGCAUUAAGCGCCCCGCCUGGGGAGUACGGCCGCAAGGCUAAAACUCAAAGGAAUUGACGGGGGCCCGCACAAGCGGCGGAGCAUGUGGAUUAAUUCGAUGCAACGCGAAGAACCUUACCUGGGCUUGACAUGCACUGGAUCGGGCCAGAGAUGGUCUUUCCCUUUGUGGCUGGUGUGCAGGUGGUGCAUGGUUGUCGUCAGCUCGUGUCGUGAGAUGUUGGGUUAAGUCCCGCAACGAGCGCAACCCUUGUCUUAUGUUGCCAGCAUUUGGUUGGGAACUCAUGAGAGACUGCCGGGGUUAACUCGGAGGAAGGUGGGGAUGACGUCAAAUCAUCAUGCCCCUUAUGUCCAGGGCUUCACACAUGCUACAAUGGUCGGUACAGCGCGUGUGCGAUACUGUGAGGUGGAGCUAAUCGCUAGAAAGCCGGUCGUAGUUCGGAUUGGGGUCUGCAACUCGACCCCAUGAAGUCGGAGUCGCUAGUAAUCGCAGAUCAGCAACGCUGCGGUGAAUACGUUCCCGGGCCU